AACGAACGCUGGCGGCAUGCCUAACACAUGCAAGUCGAACGAGACCUUCGGGUCUAGUGGCGCACGGGUGCGUAACGCGUGGGAACCUGCCCUUAGGUUCGGAAUAACUCCCCGAAAGGGGAGCUAAUACCGGAUAAUGUCUUCGGACCAAAGAUUUAUCGCCUUUGGAUGGGCCCGCGUUGGAUUAGCUAGUUGGUAGGGUAAAAGCCUACCAAGGCGACGAUCCAUAGCUGGUCUGAGAGGAUGAUCAGCUACACUGGGACUGAGACACGGCCCAGACUCCUACGGGAGGCAGCAGUGGGGAAUAUUGGACAAUGGGCGAAAGCCUGAUCCAGCAAUGCCGCGUGAGUGAUGAAGGCCUUAGGGUUGUAAAGCUCUUUUACCCGGGAUGAUAAUGACAGUACCGGGAGAAUAAGCUCCGGCUAACUCCGUG
rnacentral:rRNA from 1 species